UUUUCGAAAGAUCUCUCGAGAUCACUGGAGUUGAUUUUGAUAUAUUUUUAUCGUACAAGAUAAAUUAAAAUAUAUAUACACACAUAUAUAUAUAUAUAUAUAUGUAUAUGUAUGAGACGUUUAUCUGUUGUGUAAUAGUUACGUUUACGUGUACAUGCCUAUACAUUGCUUUAUACGUAUGCUUAAAGGCUUUCUUCUUUUUUUUAGUGAAUAAAAUAAAUAUAUAUAAGUUGUAGUAUAUAUAUUAUUUUAUUUAUAUAAAAAUAAGAUAACUCCAAGUGUACCAUUUUUUAUUAAAAAAGAAAUUGGUAAUGAGGGAUGCUCCUAAUGCUUGGAUAAGGUGCCUAAAUAUUCGCUUAUGAGAUUCUGUUUUAAUAUAAAAAAGGUGUUGGUUCAUGAUAACAGUUGGACGAUAUUCAUGGAAGUUGAAAUUCGCUAAGGAGUGUGUAAUAACUCACCUUCCGAGUGAACUUGCCCUUAUAAUGGAUGGCGCUAAAGUGAAUUACCGAAACCAAGCCAUAAAAAGAUAAAGAAAA
rnacentral:ncRNA from 1 species